UCAUGGCUCAGAUUGAACGCUGGCGGAAUGCUUUACACAUGCAAGUCGAACGGUAGAGGGGGCAACCCUUGAGAGUGGCGAACGGGUGAGUAAUAUAUCGGAACGUGCCCAGUCGUGGGGGAUAACGUAGCGAAAGCUACGCUAAUACCGCAUACGAUCUACGGAUGAAAGCGGGGGAUCGCAAGACCUCGCGCGAUUGGAGCGGCCGAUAUCAGAUUAGGUAGUUGGUGAGGUAAAGGCUCACCAAGCCGACGAUCUGUAGCUGGUCUGAGAGGACGACCAGCCACACUGGGACUGAGACACGGCCCAGACUCCUACGGGAGGCAGCAGUGGGGAAUUUUGGACAAUGGGCGCAAGCCUGAUCCAGCAAUGCCGCGUGCAGGAUGAAGGCCUUCGGGUUGUAAACUGCUUUUGUACGGAACGAAACGGUGAGCUCUAAUACAGUUUGCUAAUGACGGUACCGUAAGAAUAAGCACCGGCUAACUACGUG
rnacentral:rRNA from 1 species